UACGGGGGGGGUAAGCGUUGUUCGGAAUUACUGGGCGUAAAGGGCUCGUAGGCGGCCAACUAAGUCAUACGUGAAAUCCCUCAGCUUAACUGGGGAACUGCGUGUGAUACUGGAUGGCUUGGAUUUGGGAGAGGGAUGCGGAAUUCCAGGUGUAGCGGUGAAAUGCGUAGAUAUCGAGAGGAACACCUGCGGCGAAGGCGGGUUGCUGGGCUGACACUGACGCUGAAGUGCGAAAGCUAGGGGAGCGAACGGG
rnacentral:rRNA from 1 species